AUAGCAUUUUCUUAAUGGCUAAAUUACAAAAAAAAAAUUUCUGUCAAAAUUCGAUUUUUUACUUUUUCUCUCUAUCAUUUAAAAACCUACACUUUGUCUCCCUUCACCCCCUACUGUUAGUGAUUCGUUAGGGUUCCGUUUAUAAAAUAUCAUUAUAUAUUUCUUAUGGCAAAAAUAUUCUCAGUCUUCUCCUGUUGCCAAAAAUGAUAAGGAGUAAAAUGGUCAUUUUGUCCUCACAAUUUAUACCGUACCCCCCUGUGAUCAUUUUUUAUUUUAUAAGAAGGCAAAGUGUAGAUUUUUAAAUGAUAAGAGAGAAAAAUAAAAAAUCGAGUUUUGACAGAAAAGUUUUAUGUAAUUUAGCUUUUUUUUUAAUUUACUGCUCCGAAAGUACUUUGUUAAAUAACACUAAACUCUAAACCAAUC
rnacentral:lncRNA from 1 species